UUAUUAUUUAGCUGAUUUGUUACGAAGAUAUGAUCACGAUGAGAACCUGGGAAGGAUUUUCCCAUCCAAAGAUUAUUUGAAAGCCUACAACACUAUUGGGCCUGGUUCCAUGCAACAAAGUUUGUCGGCGGAAGCAGUGGAAGAUAACCGUUCUAGUAGAUCCUACAAUAGGGUAGUAAACCGUACUACCACACAACCUCAGGAAUCCAGGUCUGGAGUAGGUGUUGGUCUGUUUGCGACAGGGGUUGGUCUAGCUGUAGGCUUAGGGUUAGCAGCAGCAUUUCUUGGAAGUAAAAAUAAUAGAAAAUAAAUGAUGAAAUGUUGGACCCACAAAACAGUGCACUGUAUUUCCACCAGCCAAAACUGUACUUCCUCAUAAAUAUUUCUGGUUUUAAAAAGGCAGUUUAUUUCUGAUUUAUUUCUCCAUAAGAAAGUUCAUCGUAUGUUUACAAACAGUACACGAUGUACGUUAUUAGGUAAUAGGGUCAUGCAAUGAUGCUACAGUAUAUCGUAAAAUUACCCUACCACCUGAGAACUGAACUCUACCUUUCUUCUAUAAGAAUAUUAAACUGCAUACUUAAUGCAGUUUAUCGUGUAUCUGUAUGUAAACAUACGCUGAACUUUAUAAUAAAGAAAUAAAGAAAUACAACUUUAUUAUAUAGAAAUAAAUCAGAGAUACUUAUUAAGAAGCCCAAACAUAAACAUAGCAAAUAUGCAAUGCAAAAAGACCCUUUUAACUUCAUAGGUUGAUUUUAUAACCUAAU